CCUGAGAAACCUAAAAGUUCGAAAAGAGAGAUUCAAUGUCAGUUUGUAUUGUAUUCACGUGAGUAGUGAUGUGAGUUUUUAUUAAAAGAGUCAAAUCUUUUUUUAAUACUUGCACAUUUUCAUGUUUUUUUAUUGCAAUACUAUAACCGGCGUGCACUUCUCUCUUAGUAGGACGUCCCGACCCGUUGAGUCUUGGCCUACGGCAUGGAGGGUUGCCUUUAAUACGCAAGUAUUAAAGACCUCUAAUGUACUCCUGGCUAAAGUGCUCGACGGUAAUAAAAUGACUUGGUAUUAAGCCGCAAAUUUAUUUGUGCGUCUAGCCCGUCGCAAGUUUUGACAUUUUUUAUAUUAUCAUAGACUUUGUGCUAUGUUUAUAAUUAUGUCUACUGUUUGCAAGACGGUGUUCUUAGACUGGCUUUAAUAUACCUGUCCGGGACGCUUAGGCUUUGGGUCCUCUCAGGACCCGUCUUGAAACACGGACCAAGGAGUCUAACAUGUACGCAAGUCAUUGGGUAUAUAUUUUUCUUCGGAAAUUUAUAUAAAACAAACCUAAAGGCGAAAUGAAAGUAAAGGUUAAACCUCGCGUUUAACUUAGGGAUGAUGGGUUAUAGUAAUAUAACUCCGCAAUCCCGGGGCGUCUUAAUCUCUUUGAGAUGA
rnacentral:rRNA from 1 species